GGGGUACUGGUUAUUUAGCCACCUGUCCCUUUCUCUCUAAUCAUUAGGUAGGAGCAUAAACAGAAUGAAUCAGUGAAGGUUGGUUAUGUACUGACAUCACCUCCACGGACGGGUCCAGCCAAAGACUUCUGCUUGACAUGCAUUCCAAGGUUGCAACAAAACCAUUAUCAACAUGUAAAACAGAGAAGAUGUGGCCUUCCUUCUUCUGGGGCUUGCAAAGCUCCCUGGAGGCUCUUCGUGUGGCUUAUAAAAGAAUUCUUCCAAUGGUAUAAGAUUCAAGCAAAAAUGUGACAUGAGGUUGUAAUAUCUUACGUUUAUAUGCAGCUAUGUUGUGCAUAAUGUAGGCAAUGUUUGUUCUUCAUUUAUGUUUUUAAAUAUACACAACUUCUUUUGUCUUUGACAAACCAUUUACCUGUAAAGUUUUGUAGUUAAACCUAUCCAUUUAGAGUUACUUCGAAUCAGGUCAAUGGCUUUCAAACAUUUAUGCGGAAAAAAAUAGUUGCCUUUCAUUAACAGCAUGA
rnacentral:lncRNA from 1 species